CAUGGUGAGAGGAGUCUCGUGAACACAAGCUUCUGUAGUCGGGCCGAACAUUGAAGACGGCCUUGUCUCCCCAGGAAGCAGCUGUGCCUGUCCUGCGUUCCUCCCCUCUCCGAACAAUGCGCGCUGCCGCCAGGCGACUCGUUGACGCCGUGCUGGUCCGGCGGUCUCACUCCCUUCCUGCCUCUCAUCAUCAUUGCUGUAUAAGGUCCCUCCGUCACGCAGCCACCACACCACGAAGCUCUCCCACCCUGCCAGCUGCUUCUCUCCUUCCCUCCUGGUCUGCCAAUCAAUCAAGAGGAGCCAAAGUGUUGGGCACCGACAUAAGGCUUGGGAACAUUAUACAAAGGAAAGGCCGGAUCUAUCAGGUUCUUAAGGCGCAACAUACUCAACAUGGUAGAGGAGGGGCGACAAUACAAGUUGAGCUUCGAGAUGUUGAUAGUGGAAAUAAAGUGACUGAAAGAUUUCGUACUGAUGAAGCCAUUGAGAGAGUUUUUGUUGAAGAAAAGUCAUUUACAUUUUUGUAUCAAGAAGGUGAAUCUGUAAUGAUAAUGGAGCCUUCGACAUUUGAGCAGUUGGAAGUCUCUAAGGAACUGUUUGGAAAGGGAGUUGCCUAUCUGAAAGGAAGAACGCAUCCUUCACGGUCGCAAGUUUCUCCUCCUUGGUGUAGACAGCAUGUGCUGAAGCCAUUUUGGCAGUGGAGUGGAAGAAACAAACAAAGGAAGUCGAAAUAUGGCUUGGACAUGAGAUUCUUACUUCCAAUGCCUCCAUGAUUCCUAAUCACGGUAUCCUCAUCUAUGUGAUAACUAUUAGAGUGAGAAACAUCAAUAUGAUUGGUACGGUCAUCAACUAUGCUGGAGUAGAUGAAGAUCAUGUGACUAUAUUCCAUAACGACGAAGACUACCUGCUGCCAGAAUUGAAGGCUAUUGAUGCUUGUAUUGGGAGGAUUAACUAUACUGGUGUGAAUAUAACUGUCAUUGGCAACAAUGAGGUCUGGAAGAAUGUCCUGAGACGAGAGUUUAGUGAAGACAACAGUCGUCUUAAUCUAGUGCCGACUCUGAUGUGGGUGACAACUGCUUAUCUGUGCUUCAUGAAUUCCUGUCUAUCCAUGUUGUGGACAGAAUCAUUCGUCAUUGUAAGGAGCUGUAAUGUGUAUCCUGUCGUCCCCAUUUUGUGUGAUGCCCAUUAUUAAUAAAGGUUGGAAGGCCUAACCUUCUGCAAGCUUGCAUUGGAAAAGCUGGCUUCUUCUCAUAAGGUAGCUAACCUGGCCUAAUCUUCAUCAGUUGUCGUGGAAGAUCGCUCAGUCUUUUACCGCAAGUGUAUUUGUUGCCCAGCUCACAAGUUUGCAGAGCAGUAGAAGCAUGAAAGAGAACAUAGAAAAUAGAGAAUGCAAAUAGUGAAACCAGCAGAAUUAAACAGAGAGCAGAAGGAAUGCAUUCAACUUACAUUAAACAGAAAGUUGAUUACAGAAUGUGUGUUCAUGAAAGCUCACAUGUAAACUCAUUAGGGGUGCUUGAGAGCUUUUAAAACCAGACUGGGCAACAAGAUAAUAUGACAGUCACAUUACAAUUUUAUGAUGGAAAGCCAAUGUCUGCAUCAGUUCCUCAGCGGGUUACUUGCACAGUAGUUGAAGCACAACCUGUUGCAAAAGGACAAACUGCCUCUCCACAGUAUAA